AGCCGAGUUGAAGACUGAUCGCCCCCAUGGGACUGAGACACGGCCCAUAUUCCUACGGGAGGCAGCAGUAGGAAUCUUCCACAAUGGGCGCAAGCCUGAUGAGCAACACCGCGUGAGUGAAGAAGGGUUUCGGCUCGUAAAGCUCUGUUGUUAAAGAAGAACACGUAUGAGAGUAACUGUUCAUACGUUGACGGUAUUUAACCAGAAAGUCACGGCUAACUACGUGCCAGCAGCCGCGGUAAUACGUAGGUGGCAAGCGUUAUCCGGAUUUAUUGGGCGUAAAGAGAGUGCAGGCGGUUUUCUAAGUCUGAUGUGAAAGCCUUCGGCUUAACCGGAGAAGUGCAUCGGAAACUGGAUAACUUGAGUGCAGAAGAGGGUAGUGGAACUCCAUGUGUAGCGGUGGAAUGCGUAGAUAUAUGGAAGAACACCAGUGGCGAAGGCGGCUACCUGGUCUGCAACUGACGCUGAGACUCGAAAGCAUGGGUAGCGAACAGGAUUAGAUACCCUGGUAGUCCAUGCCGUAAACGAUGAGUGCUAGGUGUUGGAGGGUUUCCGCCCUUCAGUGCCGGAGCUAACGCAUUAAGCACUCCGCCUGGGGAGUACGACCGCAAGGUUGAAACUCAAAGGAAUUGACGGGGGCCCGCACAAGCGGUGGAGCAUGUGGUUUAAUUCGAAGCUACGCGAAGAACCUUACCAGGUCUUGACAUCUUGCGCCAACCCUAGAGAUAGGGCGUUUCCUUCGGGAACGCAAUGACAGGUGGUGCAUGGUCGUCGUCAGCUCGUGUCGUGAGAUGUUGGGUUAAGUCCCGCAACGAGCGCAACCCUUGUUACUAGUUGCCAGCAUUAAGUUGGGCACUCUAGUGAGACUGCCGGUGACAAACCGGAGGAAGGUGGGGACGACGUCAGAUCAUCAUGCCCCUUAUGACCUGGGCUACACACGUGCUACAAUGGACGGUACAACGAGUCGCGAACUCGCGAGGGCAAGCAAAUCUCUUAAAACCGUUCUCAGUUCGGACUGCAGGCUGCAACUCGCCUGCACGAAGUCGGAAUCGCUAGUAAUCGCGGAUCAGCAUGCCGCGGUGAAUACGUUCCCGGGCCUUGUACACACCGCCCGUCACACCAUGAGAGUUUGUAACACCCAAAGUCGGUGGGGUAACCUUUAGGAGCUCAGCCGCACUACAGAGUUAUAUUGC
rnacentral:rRNA from 1 species